rnacentral:rRNA from 1 species
GGACGGGUGAGUAACGCGUAAGAAUCUGCCUAUUAGUGGGGGACAACUACCGGAAACGGUAGCUAAUACCGCAUACGCCCUACGGGGGAAAGUGGGGGAUCUUCGGACCUCGCGCUAAUAGAUGAGCCUGCGUUAGAUUAGCUUGUUGGUGGGGUAAAGGCCUACCAAGGCGACGAUCUAUAGCUGUUCUGAGAGGAAGAUCAGCCACACUGGGACUGAGACACGGCCCAGACUCC